UGGGAUAGAGUGGGUGUGGCGGGGGUAGCAGAGCCCAGGGCAACCUCUCCCUUCAUGUGCCCAGAUCCUGCAUGC
ensembl:miRNA Mir343 microRNA 343